AGCUUUGCACAGUGGCAGUAUCAUAGCCAAUGAGGUUGACCCGAGGCACUAUUAUUGCUAAUUGUUUUCAACCUUAUAAAUAGCUCCCCCAUAUAUAUAAUAUGCAUGCCAACAACAAUGAUCUCUAGUUG
rnacentral:snRNA from 1 species